rnacentral:rRNA from 1 species
AGUUUCCGCGUCGUAGCUAACGCAUUAAGCGCCCCGCCUGGGGAGUACGGCCGCAAGGCUAAAACUCAAAGGAAUUGACGGGGGCCCGCACAAGCGGCGGAGCAUGCGGAUUAAUUUGAUGCAACGCGAAGAACCUUACCAAGGCUUGACAUGCACCAGAACACCCUGGAGACAGGGGACUCUUUGGACACUGGUGUACAGGUGGUGCAUGGUUGUCGUCAGCUCGUGUCGUGAGAUGUUGGGUUAAGUCCCGCAACGAGCGCAACCCUCGUCGCAUGUUGCCAGCACGUUAUGGUGGGGACUCAUGUGAGACUGCCGGGGUCAACUCGGAGGAAGGUGGGGAUGACGUCAAAUCAUCAUGCCCCUUAUGUCUUGGGCUUCACGCAUGCUACAAUGGCCGGUACAAAGGGCUGCGAUGUCGUAAGGCGGAGCGAAUCCCAAAAAGCCGGUCUCAGUUCGGAUUGAGGUCUGCAACUCGACCUCAUGAAGUCGGAGUCGCUAGUAAUCGCAGAUCAGCAACGCUGCGGUGAAUACGUUCCCGGGCCUUGUACACACCGCCCGUCAAGUCAUGAAAGUCGGUAACACCCGAAGCCGGUGGCCUAACCCUUGUGGAGGGAGCCGUCGAAAGGGGGGAAUCCGGGU